rnacentral:ncRNA from 1 species
AAAAAUGGGUAAAAUUAGAGAAAUCUAAUGACGCAAAGCUAUAGGGACUAAGGUUUAUAACUAUGUCAGCCAGUUGCCAA